CGCGGCAUCGGUGGGCCUUGGCUCCCACGAGCGGGGCGCGGACGCCGCCGCGGGCUCGGCCGAGGAGACCGGCGCGAUGCCGGCCGCCGCGUCCA
rnacentral:tRNA from 1 species